rnacentral:lncRNA from 1 species
UAGAUGUGCAAAAAGGUUAGUUAAUACUGAGAUUAAAUGAAGAAGAACUGACAAUCAACGUGUUUAGAGCUUUCAGAUUUCAAAGCGAACCGGAUUCUUGCAUGCAGAUUGAUGUAAUAAAAGAAGCGGUGUCAGAGACAUUUAAACUAGAUCACCCUCAAGAUCUGCUUGAGUUGUGUUUAGUGCAUUCUCAGGAUCUACCAUCAGAAAAGGAGGAAGCAGAAGAAUGUAAAAGUUAUUUGGUAGCCAUACCACCAUUCUUCAAGCAACCAUGAUUGGAGCUCAGUGAAAGUCCCACAACACCUUCACCAUCUAUACAACAAGUUCCAGCUCUUGAACUCAAACAACUGCCCACUCAUCUUCGUUAUGCAUACUUGGGGGAAAAGAAUUCACUUCCAGUAAUUAUCUCAAACAAUCUUACAGAAGUGGAGGAGGAUCGGUUGCUGAGGGUGCUUCGAAAGCAUGAGACAGCAAUAGGAUGGACGAUAUCGGAUAUAAAAGGGAUCAGCCCUUCACUUUGCAUGCAUAAGAUACUGAUGGAAGAUGAUUACAAAGCUUCAAUUGAGCAUCAAUGCAGAUUAAAUCCGACUAUGCAGGAAGUUGUAAGAAAAGAAGUAUUAAAGCUUUUGGAUGCCGAGAUCAUCUAUCCCAUAUUAGACAGCCAUUGUGUUAAUCCAGUACAGGUCGUACCAAAAAAGUGAGGGAUCACGGUGGUUCCAAAUGAAAACAAUGAGCUCAUCCCUACACGCACAGUCACGGGUUGGAGAGUUUGAAUUGACUAUCGCAAACUCAACAACGCCACGAGGAAGGAUCACUUUCCCCUUCCUUUCAUUGACCAGAUGCUAGAAAGACUUGCUGGACAUGCUUACUACUGCAUCUUGGAUGGUUAUUCGGGGUACAACUAGAUUUCUAUAGAACCAGAUGAUUAAGAGAAGACGACCUUUACAUGCCCUUAUGACACUUUUGCUUAUAGGAGGAUGCCCUUCGGUCUUAGCAACGCUCCUGCCACCUUUUAGCGUUGUAUGAUGUCUAUUUUCUCGGAUAUGAUGGGAAAUAUCAUUGAGGUGUUUAUGGAUGAUUUCUCAGUAUUUGGAAAAUCAUUUAAGGAGUGCCUUGAACAUUUAGAAAAAGUGUUAUAGCGGUGUGAAAACACAAACCUUGUAUUAAAUUGAGAAAAAAUGUCAUUUCAUGGUUCAAGAAGGGAUUGUGUUAGGGCAUCUGAUUUCAUCACAAGGUAUUGAGGUGGAUAAAGCUAAGAUACAAGUCAUCAAAAAACACCGUCGGUAACAGUGAAGGGAGUCACAAGUUUCUUAGGUCAUGCAAGGUUCUACCGUCACUUCAUCAAAGAUUUUUCCAAAAUCUCGAAGCCAUUAUGCAAUCUAUUGGAAAAAGGAGCUUCAUUUCACUUUUUUGAGGAGUGCUUGACUGCUUUCAACACUUUAAAGGAAAAAUUGGUUUCUACUCCAGUGUUGGCUCCUCCGGACUGGGAUUAUCCGUUUGAGCUUAUGUGUGAUGCCAGUGAUCAUGUAGUGGGGGCAGUGUUGGGUCAACGUAAGGGGAAGAUUUCUCAUGUUAUCCACUAUGCUAGUAAGACUUUAGAUAAGGCUCAAAUGAAUUAUGCUACUACAGAGAAAGAGCUUUUGGCAGUGGUGUUCGCUGUUGAUGAAUUCAGGUCAUAUUUGAUUGGUUCAAAAGUGAUUGUUUAUACAGAUCAUUCAGCGUUAAAAUAUCUAAUGAGUCAGAAGGAUGCAAAGCCGAGACUUAUUCGUUGGAUACUCCUAUUACAAGAGUUUGAUCUGGAAAUUAGAGAUAAAAAGAAGAGUGAGAAUGUUGUGGCAGAUCACCUCUCACGCCUUGAAUCACAUGAGUCAAAUCCUACAUUGGAGAUCAAUGAAGCCUUUCAUGAUGAAAUGCUCUUUCAGAUUAUCACUACACCAUGUUACACCGAUUAUGUCUAUUAUUUGGCUCGCUCCAUCAUCCCACCAGACUACUCGAGUCACCAAAAGAAGAAAUUCUUCAGUGACCUAAAACACUACUUUUGGGAUGAUCCAAUUCUUUACAGAAGGGGUCCAGAUCAGAUCAUACGCCGUUGUGUGCCAGAGGUAGAGCAGCAUCAAGUAUUAGAGUCAUGUCACUCUGCACCGUAUGGGGGCCAUUUCGCAGCAACCAAGACAGUAGCAAAGGUACUGCAAUUGGGUUUUUAUUGGCCUACAUUGUUCAAAGAUGCCCAUUAUAUGGUGAAACAUUGUGAUAAGUGCCAAAGGACUGGAUAUAUUUCAAGGAGGAA